UAGUCCACGCCCUAAACGAUGAUUACUCGAUGUGUGCAAUACACCGUACGCGGCCAAGCGAAAGUGAUAAGUAUCCCACCUGGGGAGUACGUUCGCAAGAAUGAAACUCAAAGGAAUUGACGGGGGCCCGCACAAGCGGUGGAGCAUGUGGUUUAAUUCGAUGAUACGCGAGGAACCUUACCAGGGCUUAAAUGCAUUACGACAGGUCUAGAGAUAGAUUUUCCUUCGGGCGUUUUGCAAGGUGCUGCAUGGUUGUCGUCAGCUCGUGCCGUGAGGUGUCAGGUUAAGUCCUAUAACGAGCGCAACCCCUGCCGUUAGUUGCCAGCAUGUAAUGAUGGGGACUCUAACGGGACUGCCGGUGCAAACCGUGAGGAAGGGUGGGGACGACGUCAAAUCAUCACGGGUCCUUACGUCCUGGGGCCACACACGUGCUACAAUGGCCGAUACCAGCGGGGAAGCCAUGCGGUAACGCAGAGCGGGAUCCAC
rnacentral:rRNA from 1 species